rnacentral:rRNA from 1 species
CGCGUAUGCAAUCUACCUUUUACAGAGGGAUAGCCCAGAGAAAUUUGGAUUAAUACCUCAUAGUAUAUAGACUCGGCAUCGAGAUUAUAUUAAAGUCACAACGGUAAAAGAUGAGCAUGCGUCCCAUUAGCUAGUUGGUAAGGUAACGGCUUACCAAGGCUACGAUGGGUAGGGGUCCUGAGAGGGAGAUCCCCCACACUGGUACUGAGACACGGACCAGACUCCUACGGGAGGCAGCAGUGAGGAAUAUUGGACAAUGGGCGCAAGCCUGAUCCAGCCAUGCCGCGUGCAGGAUGACGGUCCUAUGGAUUGUAAACUGCUUUUAUACGAGAAGAAACACUACUUCGUGAAGUAGCUUGACGGUAUCGUAAGAAUAAGGAUCGGCUAACUCCGUGCCAGCAGCCGCGGUAAUACGGAGGAUCCAAGCGUUAUCCGGAAUCAUUGGGUUUAAAGGGUCCGUAGGCGGUUUAAUAAGUCAGUGGUGAAAGCCCAUCGCUCAACGGUGGAACGGCCAUUGAUACUGUUAAACUUGAAUUAUUAGGAAGUAACUAGAAUAUGUAGUGUAGCGGUGAAAUGCUUAGAGAUUACAUGGAAUACCAAUUGCGAAGGCAGGUUACUACUAAUGGAUUGACGCUGAUGGACGAAAGCGUGGGUAGCGAACAGGAUUAGAUACCCUGGUAGUCCACGCCGUAAACGAUGGAUACUAGCUGUUGGGAGCAAUCUCAGUGGCUAAGCGAAAGUGAUAAGUAUCCCACCUGGGGAGUACGUUCGCAAGAAUGAAACUCAAAGGAAUUGACGGGGGCCCGCACAAGCCGGUGGAGCAUGUGGUUUAAUUCGAUGAUACGCGAGGAACCUUACCAAGGCUUAAAUGUAGAUUGACCGUUUUGGAAACAGAAC